rnacentral:rRNA from 1 species
GACGAACGCUGGCGGCGUGCUUAACACAUGCAAGUCGAGCGGUAAGGCCCUUUCGGGGGUACACGAGCGGCGAACGGGUGAGUAACACGUGGGUGACCUGCCCUUAGCUCUGGGGUAAGCCUGGGAAACUGGGUCUAAUACCGGAUAUGACUCCAUGACGCAUGUUGUGGGGUGGAAAGCCUUGCGCGGCUAGGGAUGGGCCCGCGGCCUAUCAGCUUGUUGGUGGGGUGAUGGCCACCAAGGCGACGACGGGUAGCCGGCCUGAGAGGGCGACCGGCCACACUGGGACUGAGACACGGCCCAGACUCCUACGGGAGGCAGCAGUGGGGAAUCUUGCGCAAUGGGCGAAAGCCUGACGCAGCGACGCCGCGUGGGGA